CCUACGGGAGGCAGCAGUGGGGAAUAUUGCACAAUGGGCGAAAGCCUGAUGCAGCAACGCCGCGUGAGCGAUGAAGGCCUUCGGGUCGUAAAGCCCUGUCCUCAAGGAAGAUAAUGACGGUACGUGAGGCCGAAGCCCCGGCUAACUACGUGCCAGCAGCCGCGGUAAUACGGAGGGGGCUAGCGUUAUCCGGAAUUACUGGGCGUAAAGGGUGCGUAGGUGGGUUCUUAAGUCAGAGGUGAAAGGCUAGGGCUCAACCGUAGUAAGCCUUUGAAACUGGGAAACUUGAGUGCGGGAGAGGAGAGUGGAAUUCCUGGUGUAGCGGUGAAAUGCGUAGAUAUUAGGAGGAACACCAGUUGCGAAGGCGGCUCUCUGGACUGUAACUGACACUGAGGCACGAAAGCGUGGGGAGCAAACAGGAUUAGAUACCCCAGUAGUC
rnacentral:rRNA from 1 species